GAUGCUCAUGAGUUCCUGCUCCUCCUCUUCAUGAAGAUGAAGAUGGAAGGUGAGACACUGCAGGAGAUCUCCACGUCACCCAGCUAUAUCUGCCCCGUCCAGAACUUUGAGUUCAGACUGCAGUGUGUACGCACAUGCACCAGGUAACGCUUGACUUCAUCGAACGUAUUAUUGUUGUCGCAUAAUACUACUAUAGUUCCUCCAUCAUUGAAUGAUGGAAAUCAGAGUCAAUCAAUGUUACGCCAACACUUUUGGCAUCAUGAUCUGGUCUGCUGUGUUCAAAUGGUGAUUUUCUGUUCUCUGCCCGUCUUAAAAGCUGCGGUGACAAGGUCUUCCAGAAGGAGGAGCAGAACCACUUGUCCUUGGACCUCCACCCGUCGUUGAUAGCUGGCCUCCAAUUCUACUUCAAAGUCAGUACACCGUUGUGUUGGUGUGUCCGAUUACGCUGGUCCACUGAUACUCACAGAGCACUUUCCCUCAGCCUUCAGAGUUGGAGUGCACCUGCCGGCAGUGCUCUGGAUGCCAGGCAACAGCGGUUCGGCAUUUCCUCACUCUGCCCAGGUGAGCCAUGAACUUGAGUCUGUUGUCUCCAAUGUUGCCUUGAAGCAGACUUUUCAUACGUACGGGCGCGUGUGUGCAUGCAGCGAUCGGACGAUGAACCGUUUGUGUCCACAGAGUGUUACUCCUUCACAUGAAGCGCUUCCACCACGACGGGGCACGGUUGAGGAAGGUGACCGAUGCUGUCAGCGUUCCUCCAUGGCUGUCUCUGGCCUCCCUCGUUGGAGAGCAGGGUGCUGCAGCUGGGAUAGACCCACUGAGAUCAAGUUAUGGAGAGGGGGAAAUCGCAUCUGGAGCAAAACCAAGUGCAAACAUGGGUAAGAAAAAAGUGAUGGAUUCCUAUCUCAUGCCCAACCGCUUGAGUUUUUCAGUUGUGUACAAAACAGGAUUGUUGGUGUGUUUCUCAGCAGCAGUGGAUCAUCUUGACAGUGCAGGAGACAGGGACAGAGGUCUUCAGGAAGUUCAUGGGGUGAGAGGGGCCAGGGAGAGAGCUGUAGUACACAGUGGGACAGAAUAUGGACAGAUUCAAGUGAUGAUGCAACAGAGAAGCCCCAAGUGUUUUUUACACUGGCACUAUGCCCGUCUUAUUUGAAACUUUUUCCCGGCAUUGGCGUUUUUGCACUUGUAAACAGUUAAUGGGGUUUGUAGCCUACAUUCAGACGCAGUCUACUCAUUCUUGCGUGCGAGUGGCUUAAAUAAAAUUAAAACAUUCCGAGUAUGCAAAUUAUUCUAAAGAUGUCUACGUGCGUAGCCCCGCCUGCUCCAAUGAACAAGAAAGCCGGCUCUUUGAAGGCUUUACACAGGCAGGACAGUGAAACUAACAUCUGCCAAGCAGCGACCGUACCUGCUUGGCAGUGUAAAAAUGCUUAGGGUUAGGGUUAGGUUCUCUGACAAAUGAAUCCUGUUUCUCUACAGAAGGAUCACAGCAACCAGAGCACCUACCGUCUGUCGGGGAUGGUCUCUCACCUCGGGGAGAGCAUCAACACCGGUAACUAAAGCUUUUAUAGUAAAGAAUGUACAUCU
ensembl:lncRNA